rnacentral:rRNA from 1 species
AGAGUUUGAUCAUGGCUCAGAUUGAACGCUGGCGGCAGGCCUAACACAUGCAAGUCGAACGGUAACAGGAAGCAGCUUGCUGCUUCGCUGACGAGUGGCGGACGGGUGAGUAAUGUCUGGGAAACUGCCUGAUGGAGGGGGAUAACUACUGGAAACGGUAGCUAAUACCGCAUAAUGUCGCAGGACCAAAGAGGGGGACCUUCGGGCCUCUUGCCAUCAGAUGUGCCCAGAUGGGAUUAGCUUGUUGGUGAGGUAACGGCUCACCAAGGCGACGAUCCCUAGCUGGUCUGAGAGGAUGACCAGCCACACUGGAACUGAGACACGGUCCAGACUCCUACGGGAGGCAGCAGUGGGGAAUAUUGCACAAUGGGCGCAAGCCUGAUGCAGCCAUGCCGCGUGUAUGAAGAAGGCCUUCGGGUUGUAAAGUACUUUCAGCGGGGAGGAAGGGGAUAAGGCUAAUAACCUUGUUCAUUGACGUUACCCGCAGAAGAAGCACCGGCUAACUCCGUGCCAGCAGCCGCGGUAAUACGGAGGGUGCAAGCGUUAAUCGGAAUUACUGGGCGUAAAGCGCACGCAGGCGGUCUGUCAAGUCGGAUGUGAAAUCCCCGGGCUCAACCUGGGAACUGCAUUCGAAACUGGCAGGCUUGAGUCUUGUAGAGGGGGGUAGAAUUCCAGGUGUAGCGGUGAAAUGCGUAGAGAUCUGGAGGAAUACCGGUGGCGAAGGCGGCCCCCUGGACAAAGACUGACGCUCAGGUGCGAAAGCGUGGGGAGCAAACAGGAUUAGAUACCCUGGUAGUCCACGCCGUAAACGAUGUCUACUUGGAGGUUGUGCCCUUGAGGCGUGGCUUCCGGAGCUAACGCGUUAAGUAGACCGCCUGGGGAGUACGGCCGCAAGGUUAAAACUCAAAUGAAUUGACGGGGGCCCGCACAAGCGGUGGAGCAUGUGGUUUAAUUCGAUGCAACGCGAAGAACCUUACCUGGUCUUGACAUCCACAGAACUUUCCAGAGAUGGAUUGGUGCCUUCGGGAACUGUGAGACAGGUGCUGCAUGGCUGUCGUCAGCUCGUGUUGUGAAAUGUUGGGUUAAGUCCCGCAACGAGCGCAACCCUUAUCCUUUGUUGCCAGCGGUCCGGCCGGGAACUCAAAGGAGACUGCCAGUGAUAAACUGGAGGAAGGUGGGGAUGACGUCAAGUCAUCAUGGCCCUUACGACCAGGGCUACACACGUGCUACAAUGGCGCAUACAAAGAGAAGCGACCUCGCGAGAGCAAGCGGACCUCAUAAAGUGCGUCGUAGUCCGGACUGGAGUCUGCAACUCGACUCCAUGAAGUCGGAAUCGCUAGUAAUCGUGGAUCAGAAUGCCACGGUGAAUACGUUCCCGGGCCUUGUACACACCGCCCGUCACACCAUGGGAGUGGGUUGCAAAAGAAGUAGGUAGCUUAACCUUCGGGAGGGCGCUUACCACUUUGUGAUUCAUGACUGGGGUGAAGUCGUAACAAGGUAACCGUAGGGGAACCUGCGGUUGGAUCACCU